UCCCUGUUAGUAUAUCGGUUAGUACACGCGCCUGUCAUGUGCGCGCGAAAGCGGGGUUCGACUCCCCGACAGAGAG